rnacentral:snRNA from 1 species
AGCUUUGCGCAGUGGCAGUAUCGUAGCCAAUGAGGUUUAUCCGAGGCGUGAUUAUUGCUAAUUGAAUUUAUUUAUUUAUUUAUUCAAAGUUUUAUUCAUAAACAGAUAGCAAUGAGACAGUUUCAAAUCAAA